rnacentral:rRNA from 1 species
GACGAACGCUGGCGGCGUGCUUAACACAUGCAAGUCGAGCGGUGAACCCUUCGGGGGGAUCAGCGGCGAACGGGUGAGUAACACGUGAGCAACCUGCCCCUGACUCUGGGAUAGCCUCGGGAAACCGGGAUUAAUACCGGAUAUGAAAUCGCCUCGCAGGGGGUGGUGUGGAAAGGUUUUCGGUCGGGGAUGGGCUCGCGGCCUAUCAGCUUGUUGGUGGGGUGAUGGCCUACCAAGGCGACGACGGGUAGCCGGCCUGAGAGGGUGACCGGCCACACUGGGACUGAGACACGGCCCAGACUCCUACGGGAGGCAGCAGUGGGGAAUAUUGCGCAAUGGGCGAAAGCCUGACGCAGCGACGCCGCGUGAGGGAUGAAGGCCUUCGGGUUGUAAACCUCUUUCAGCAGGGAAGAAGCGCAAGUGACGGUACCUGCAGAAGAAGCACCGGCUAACUACGUGCCAGCCGCCGCCGUAACAC